UGCGGGAUAUUGCACAAUGGGCGAAAGCCUGAUGCAGCGACGCCGCGUGGGGGAUGAAGGCCUUCGGGUUGUAAACUUCUUUUGCUCUGAACAAGGCGCACCAUGGGGUGUGUUGAGUGUAGGGGUUGAUUAGCGCCGGCUAACUACGUGCCAGCAGCCGCGGUAAUACGUAGGGCGCGAGCGUUGUCCGGAAUUAUUGGGCGUAAAGGGCUUGUAGGUGGCUGGUUGCGUCUGUCGUGAAAGCUCAUGGCUUAACUGUGGGUUUGCGGUGGGUACGGGCUGGCUUGAGUGCAGUAGGGGAGGCUGGAAUUCCUGGUGUAGCGGUGGAAUGCGCAGAUAUCAGGAGGAAUACCGGUGGCGAAGGCGGGUCUCUGGGCUGUUACUGACACUGAGGAGCGAAAGCAUGGGGCGCGAACAGG
rnacentral:rRNA from 1 species